rnacentral:rRNA from 1 species
AUUGAACGCUGGCGGCAUGCCUUACACAUGCAAGUCGAACGGCAGCACGGGAGCAAUCCUGGUGGCGAGUGGCGUACGGGUGAGUAAUGUAUCGGAACGUACCUUUCAGUGGGGGAUAAACGUAGCGAAAGUUACGCUAAUACCGCAUAUUCUGUGAGCAGGAAAGCAGGGGAUCGCAAGACCUUGCGCUGAUUGAGCGGCCGAUAUCAGAUUAGCUAGUUGGUGAGGUAAAGGCUCACCAAGGCGACGAUCUGUAGCGGGUCUGAGAGGAUGAUCCGCCACACUGGAACUGAGACACGGUCCAGACUCCCACGGGAGGCAGCAGUGGGGAAUUUUGGACAAUGGGCGCAAGCCUGAUCCAGCCAUGCCGCGUGAGUGAAGAAGGCCU